AGUGUACGCUGGCGGUAGGCCUAACACAUGCAAGUCGAACGGCAGCACAGUAAGAGCUUGCUCUUACGGGUGGCGAGUGGCGGACGGGUGAGGAAUACAUCGGAAUCUACUUUUUCGUGGGGGAUAACGUAGGGAAACUUACGCUAAUACCGCAUACGACCUACGGGUGAAAGCAGGGGAUCUUCGGACCUUGCGCGAUUGAAUGAGCCGAUGUCGGAUUAGCUAGUUGGCGGGGUAAAGGCCCACCAAGGCGACGAUCCGUAGCUGGUCUGAGAGGAUGAUCAGCCACACUGGAACUGAGACACGGUCCAGACUCCUACGGGAGGCAGCAGUGGGGAAUAUUGGACAAUGGGCGCAAGCCUGAUCCAGCCAUACCGCGUGGGUGAAGAAGGCCUUCGGGUUGUAAAGCCCUUUUGUUGGGAAAGAAAAGCAGCAGGUUAAUACCCCGCUGUUCUGACGGUACCCAAAGAAUAAGCACCGGCUAACUUCGU
rnacentral:rRNA from 1 species